rnacentral:rRNA from 1 species
CCUACGGGAGGCAGCAGUGAGGAAUAUUGGUCAAUGGGCGUAAGCCUGAACCAGCCAAGUCGCGUGAGGGAUGAUGGUUCUAUGGAUCGUACACCUCUUUUAUAAGGGACUAAAGUGCGGGACGUGUCCCGUUUUGUAUGUACCUUAUGAUUAAGGAUCGGCUAAUUCCGUGCCACCAGCCGCGGUAAUACGGAGGUUCCGAGCGUUAUCCGGAUUUAUUGGGUUUAAAGGGUGCGUGGUCGGCCGUUUAAUUCAGCGGGGAAAGUCUGUGGCUCAACCAUAGAAUUGCCGUUGAAACUGGGAGGCUUGAGUAUGUUUGAGGCAGGCGGAAUGCGUGGUGUAGCGGUGAAAUGCUUAGAGAUCACGCAGAACACCGAUUGCGAAGGCAGCCUGCCAAGCCAUGACUGACGCUGAUGCACGAAAGCGUGGGGAUCAAACAGGAUUAGAUACCCUUGUAGUC